GUCCAGACUCCUACGGGAGGCAGCAGUGGGGAAUAUUGCACAAUGGGGGAAACCCUGAUGCAGCGACGCCGCGUGAGUGAAGAAGUAUUUCGGUAUGUAAAGCUCUAUCAGCAGGGAAGAUAAUGACGGUACCUGAGUAAGAAGCCCCGGCUAACUACGUGCCAGCAGCCGCGGUAAUACGUAGGGGGCAAGCGUUAUCCGGAUUUACUGGGUGUAAAGGGAGCGUAGACGGCAUGACAAGUCUGAAGUGAAAGCCCGGGGCUCAACCGCGGGACUGCUUUGGAAACUGUUAAGCUGGAGUGCAGGAGAGGUAAGUGGAAUUCCUAGUGUAGCGGUGAAAUGCGUAGAUAUUAGGAGGAACACCAGUGGCGAAGGCGGCUUACUGGACUGUAACUGACGUUGAGGCUCGAAAGCGUGGGGAGCAAACAGGAUUAGAUACCCUGGUAUU
rnacentral:rRNA from 1 species